AUUGAACGCUGGCGGCAUGCUUUACACAUGCAAGUCGGACGAGUGGCGGACGGGUGAGUAACGUAUCGGAAACUGCCCGGUAAUGGGGGAUAACUACUCGAAAGGGUAGCUAAUACCGCAUAUUAUUCGAGCGGCCGAUAUCUGAUUAGCUGGUUGGUGGGGUAAAGGCUCACCAAGGCGACGAUCAUUAGCGGGUCUGAGAGGAUGAUCCGCCACACUGGGACUGAGCCACGGCCCAGACUCCUACGGGAGGAAGCAGUGGGGAAUUUUGGACAAUGGGCGAAAGCCUGAUGCAGCCAUGCCGCGUGUCUGAAGAAGGCCUUCGGGUUGUAAAGUACUUUCGUCGGGGAGGCGGUACCUGAAGAAUAAGCACCGGCUAACUACGUGCCAGCAGCCGCGGUAAUUC
rnacentral:rRNA from 1 species